GGCGGCAAUAGCUCCGGGUGGCCCAAUGCGAUCCCAUUCCGAACUCGACUAUUACCCCCCAGAGCGCCUUAAAUAUUGCACAUGUGAGAAUCAGGGUUGCCGCC
rnacentral:rRNA from 1 species